rnacentral:ncRNA from 1 species
AUGCAGAUAAAAAAAACCAUUCAUGCGGGGAAGCGUGAAUGGCCAAUACAUAUACGGGAAAAUGUCGUACUUACUUGGGUUGCAGGGAGAUGAACAACCUUUGUGAGACAAAUGAAUUAUAACUAAGUUAAUUUUAAUAACUGUUAAGUAUUGCAAUUUAAAUAUUAAAUUAAGUGUAUU